UACGUAGGGGGCAAGCGUUGUCCGGAAUCAUUGGGCGUAAAGCGCGCGUAGGCGGCCCGGUAAGUCCGCUGUAAAAGUCCAGGGCUCAACCCUGGAAAGCCGGUGGAUACUGUCGGGCUAGAGUCCGGAAGAGGCGAGUGGAAUUCCUGGUGUAGCGGUGGAAUGCGCAGAUAUCAGGAGGAACACCAGUGGCGAAGGCGGUGCUCUGGGCCGGAACUGACGCUGAGGAGCGAAAGCGUGGGGAGCGAACAGG
rnacentral:rRNA from 1 species